rnacentral:rRNA from 1 species
CGCUGGCGGCGCGCCUAACACAUGCAAGUCGAACGAGAGAUGAGGAGCUUGCUCUUCAAAUCGAGUGGCGAACGGGUGAGUAACGCGUGAGGAACCUGCCUCAAAGAGGGGGACAACAGUUGGAAACGACUGCUAAUACCGCAUAAGCCCACGGCUCGGCAUCGAGCGAGGGGGAAAAGGAGCAAUCCGCUAUGAGAUGGACCCGCGGCGCAUUAGCUAGUUGGUGGGUAACGGCCUACCAAGGCGAUGAUGCGUAGCCGACCUGAGAGGGUGAUCGGCCACAUUGGGACUGAGACACGGCCCAGACUCCUACGGGAGGCAGCAGUGGGGAAUAUUGCACAAUGGGGGAAACCCUGAUGCAGCAACGCCGCGUGAGUGAUGAAGGUUUUCGGAUCGUAAAGCUCUGUCUUUGGGGAAGAUAAUGACGGUACCCAAGGAGGAAGCCACGGCUAACUACGUG